UUUAACUAAAUUAAAUUUUUGUUUCACAGGUCACUACUUUGAAAUCACAAUUGGAGGAGCAAAAUCAAAAAUUUGAUGAACAAAAUAAAAAAUUUGAGGCAAUAUUUAACUUUUUUGCGCAAAAUUAUCAAGGUCAAUUGCCUCCCAACUUGGCAAUGUUUCAACCUUCACCGGUUUCUGAUCAAGGAAGUGUACCAACUAAUGAAACAAAUUAUCAACAUGGAGAUGAACAUAUUUGAUAGUUGAUGAAGAGCAUAUCAAUUUAAAGAAGAUUUAUCCUUUAUUUUCAUAAAUUUGAUAGAACAUAUUAUCAUUGUACUAGUUUGUUUUGAGUAACAUAUUUUAUCAUUUUAUAUUCACUAUUUUCUAGGAUUGACCAUACAAGAGUCUUCAGAAACUUCUUUUAGUGUAUAAAAGUUUUUAUACAUUGUGAUGUUAUGUACUUUUUGUUUCACAAUCAAACUAAUAUAAAUUUGUGUUAGUUCUA